rnacentral:lncRNA from 1 species
UGUCUGUAAAAGUAUUCCUUUUAGAAAAUGCUUCUAUUUUAUCAGUAUCUUAAAGGAGAAUCAAAUAAUCAAAAUAGAAAAGGGAAAUGAUCAGAGAUUGUGCAUCUGUACCACACUGUUGGCAGUAAUGGCCAGUGUUGGCUCUACCCACUUAUAAAAGUCACAUCUUUCAGUAUCUCUGAUAAAUUUCGAAUUUCAAAUGCUCUACUUUGAAGCCUCAAAAAAUGUACCUCUAAAUCUGCUUUCGGGGGGGAAAAUAUCCCGUUUAGCUAACGCAAACGGAAUUUUAUAACUAUGUUGCAAAACAGGAGUCAAAAAUAGCCUAUGGCCUGGGUCAAGUCUUUCGAAUCUGAAUUAAAACUCUGAACUUGGGAACUAAGAACAAAAGGUCUCUCUACUCUGUGGUCACACUCACGCAGUCCCAAAAGAAUCUGUCCUUUUUUACAUUGUACGCAUUUCCUUCUAACUUCACAGCCUGCUUCUCAACAAUCAGUAUCCUCCGAAAGUACUCCAAUUGAGGACUCACUAAGGGAGUAAGGGAGGAACACGGGAGACCCCGGAACGGCUCCAAAUCCAUGGCUCAAAAGGAAAACAAACCAGGCAACCACUAAAACUAGGAAAGUAUCCUCGUCGGAAGAUGUGUCCUGCUGAGUGCUUCGUAGCGAGCAGCCCAACAGGCCAUUCAUUUGCUGAGGGAGAAGCAGGGGAGGCGAAUGCAGGGAACCGAGCCACCCGGCCGGCCCGGGCAGCUCAUUAGCUUUGGCGCUUAGAAGCCCUCUCCCCGUGACCCGCCAUCGCCUUUGGCGCCGGCUGUCCCUCACACCCUGCGGGAGGCAAAAACUGUACUCUCCAGUAGCACCCCGGCUGGAGAGACACCUUCGCCGUCUUCUCAGCCCGCUUGAGAUAGUCGGGCCGCGCAGCGCCCUCCCUCACCAGUCGCUAGAUGAAACUGCACCGAUGAUAUCCGCGGGGUCGGCGCACAGCCGCACAGCAACUCAUCCUCAGUGAAAGCAACUACAGAAAUUGAAGGGCGCCAGGAGGAGCCCGUCCCCAGAGCAGAGUCAGCUCCCGAGGAGGCUGCAACUACAGCCGUGACUACGGGCACCGGGAGGUCGCGCGGCGGACCGAGAGACGCCAACGAAAGAGGCGAGGAGGUGCCACCCGGGGCGGCGACUGGAGAGCCGCGGGAGGAGGAGCGCGAAGACCGGCGACCGCCGUGCGUACUUUCCGGAGGGAAGGGCGGGGGAGUCAGCCGGGAGGGGGACGCCUGCCGUCUAGGAGCUCCGCUGAGUUCCGACCGCGGUGUCCCUGCUCCGCGCCCACCAGAGGAAAGUUUACUCCAGGAGCUUCCGGCUGGCCCGCGCCCUCCGGGUCCAGCCCCUGAGCCUUCGGAGCGGGCGCCGAGAGCCGCUAUGCCUGGGG